rnacentral:sRNA from 1 species
CCCACGGCUUACGCCGUGGGCUGCUCUCUGUAGGCCCUCCGGGCCU